UCCUAGGACUCCCUGUGGCCCCAUCCACACAGGGCCUAUAGCUCAUUAGACCCAGGCCAUUCACAAAGGCACGGGUCUAAUAGGUUAUCAAAUUAAUUUAGGAUAAAGCACAGUUUUCCUGCUUUGUCUUGAAUUAAUUCUUCUUUACUGGAGGUGCCAUUUGAAUGCCUCCAGUAAAAACACGAGAGGGCCUGGGAUAUUGGCCCUGCCUGGAUGGGGCCCUUGGCUACUAGGAGAGAAACCCCCUCCUCCUCCUCCUCCUCUUGGCCCAUGAUCCUGACAACCAGUGACAUUUGUGGAGGUCAUAAUGCAAGGAGUAAAACUAAGGAUGCCCAAAUGACUCAUGUAGAAAACUGCAUGUGUCAUAAUCUCAGGAGAACUAGGCAAACCUAAGUAAGUCAAGGCAACCAGUGAAGUUGAAAAGCUUUUAAGCCUAUUUAGCCAGAUUUGAAGGAUUUAUGGAGAGGACAAUUAGACACAGAUGGAAGCUUUUUCAUAAUCUUUCCCUAUAUAUUUAUUAUUAUUAUUAUUUGAAUCUGAAGCAUCUCUUUUUAAAAGGAACAGCAGAACCACUUAUUUCAAAAGGAUAUGUGAAAUAUAAAAACCUUCAGUAUUUUUUUAAAAAAUCACCCCCUUUUUAAUAUAAAAAGUAAAAAUGCUUUGUCAUCAUCAAAGAGUUACUCUUCCUACAGAAUCCUGUGUUGAAAGCUACUUUGGAUUCAGGAUAUGUAAAAUGAAUGUUUUUCUGUGAACAUACUGUGAUUAUAUAGAGAGAAACAUUUAAAGCCAAUGAAUGGUGGUUUAUUUAGCCCAGCCAUUUUGCUAUGUAAUUAAUCCCAAUAUGCUAACAGGUUUUGUCUAAGUUGUAUAAGUAGUAGAAAUAAAUUAAAUCCUUUCACUGAAAUUUAAAUUUAGUAUUUACUUGCAGCCUGAAAUAGCUACAGACUGCAAAACUUCAUAAUACAACAUUUUGGUUCCCAUUAGAAGUUCCUAAAAUAAAACCUCAUUUUCCCCCAGCUGAGUAAUUCUUACAUGCUAAUAUUUAAGUUUCAUUUUCAAAAAGAAAUGUGGGGGAGAGGUAUUUUCUAUGCUGCAAAAAUUGUACAAAAGAUAUACACUCCCCUUGCUGGGAUCAAAGGAGAUAUGGAAGUAGACACAGCUUUUAUUGAAUUGCCUCCCCCGAACACAUGCAAAGUGCUGAGGUUGUGUUGUGUGUGCAUUUUUAGGUUGAUGCCUAGAAAUGACUUAUUUGGCUAAAUUCAGUUGCCCUAGCACUCCCCUCCUCAGUUCAACUUGAAUUAGAAAAAGUGGCUGCCUCAUUUUGUCAAAUGACAGGACCAAUCCUGGACUUAGGUAAAAGAAGAACAUGACAGGAAUCAACAAAAGGCUGAGCAGAAGCAAAGACUCCCUUAAUGGUGAAUGAGGAUUGGGAAACUGGAGGUUGAAAGCAAAGAAGCAGAGUGCUUAUACAGUAAUGUCAUGAACUAUUAUAGGGGAGAAGUUUGAUCUUAGGGCCUGGUUGAUAAGGAUUUGUAGAUUAAUGGCAGUGGUGAUACAUAUAUUGCUCUGAAAAGGGCUGCAUUUUACAGUAGCCUCCAUUUUCUUAACAGCAUCUAUAUUCCUGGUAACUGGUACCAUUAAUAGUGUGUUCAGUAGAAUGCUUCUUAUCAUAUCAUUUCGGUAUAUGGAAUAUUGUUGGGAUAACUGAGGUGUGAGGAAAGGCAGAUUUCUGAAUCUAGAAUCCAACGGUGUAAAUUUCUUUGUGCUGACACAUACUUAAAAAUACAUUGCAGAUGAUUUAGAUUUUAUAGUUGAAAGAGUAAGUCUGUGAUAGAAAUUAUAUCAUGAAGGACACAGAACUAAAAAAAACAAAACCUAAAACCCAUGGAUUUAUUUUCUCAUAAUUCUGCUCUUCCCCAUGUGCCCCUCUGAACUUUUAAAACUGAGUAUUAAUUGUCUCCAAUUUGAUAUCACUCUAGAUCCAUUGGCUGCAAUUACAGCCAGACCCAAAAGUAUGCAGGAGACUCCCCAGCCUUUUCUCUUUUCCAUUCUAAGUGGCUACUACCUUGUUGAAUUCUGUCCCUGCUAUUAACAAUGCAACGGAUAUUUAUGCAGGAUUUAUUUGAGUUAUUUCCCAGAACUGAGAUACAGAUAAACAUGCAGAAUGCAACUCUCAUGCAUAUGGGGGUUUGGGGUGGGAAAAACAUAUACCAAAGAAAAUAGGGGAAAACAUUCAAAAGAAUUCUGCAUACAAUAUUUUAGCUUAACCUCUGUACACAUUAGUUAACUUGAGAUCUUCUACUUUUUCAGCCCCAAUCCAUAUGUUUAAUUUCAACUUGUGAUUAAUAAACAAAUAUUAAAAUUAACUCUACAUAUUAAGCUCUCCACAUUUCCUUUUCAGGUCACAGAUGUAAGGAAAGGCAAAAUUGCAUCUAUGGAGUUAAACCACACACUUUCUAAUAGUGGUAAUGCCACUUAUUCUCAGGGUGCAUGGGAACAUAAAGUGUAUUCUACAAAUUCAUUCAUUACUUUAAAGAGUAAAUAAAAAGGAAAAUAGUGGUGAUAUAAUAACCACACUUUUGUGGUUGGUAAUUCACAUAUUCAGAAUCUGUGUUCUAAGAAGUGACUGGACUUAUAAGCUCUGAAACACUGAACAAAUGAAAACUGAAUCUAGACUACAGUCACAAAAUCCAACUCCCUAUCACAUGCUGGUAUAAUAGAGAGAUUUGAGCAUGUCCAAGGUUGUCUUUACUUUGCUUCUGUUCAAGUCUCGAUAUUAUAGGGGCAGAAAGAGUAUUAGCAUACAGCUCCUUUUGUCUGAGAAUUCAAGGGCUUCCUUUAUUAUCAAAAUCACAUCAUAAAUAUUACUUUGGCGGGCUAACUACAUUCUAAAAAUGGCAAAGGUUGAAUUAUGACUCAUGCUCAAGUUCAUGUGAAUUAUUAUUCUAUAAUUUAUAACUGUUAUGCCUCUUUGCAUAUUUAAAGAAAAAGGUACAGGAUGAAUAUUGCAAAGUGAAACAAAUAAUAGCUUUCAAAAUGGCAAGUUCAUACCAAUAGUUUAUGAGCUGAGGUGGCAAUGAAUUUUGCAACACUUAAGUUAGUCUUUUAAAAAUCAGUAUAAAUAAAUAAUAAGGAAAGCAAGUUAGGAUGAAUACUUAGUACCCCAUGAGAUGCAAUUCAUUUAUAGCUAAAAUUUAUAAUUUUAUCCCUACAUUAAAAUAUCACUGCAAUACAUAAGUAAAAAAGGAUAUUAAGUUGUUAAUUAUUUUAAAAGUGUUAAGAUAUUAUUUUAGACAUGUAUUCCAGACUCCUACAGUUGGUCUUUCAUAACCACAGAGUCUGCAUCCAUGAAUUCAGCCAUUCGCAGCUUGAAAAUAUUUAAAAGAUCAAAAAUACACCUUGGUUUUGUCAUUUAAUAUAAAGUACACCAUUUACUACACCACUGUACAUCCUGAGACAUGAACACAUGCACAGAUUUUGGUAACUGUGUGGAUCCUGGAACAAAACCUCAAAUCAAGAGCCCACGGUAUAAGCUUUAUUUUUCAUUGUAUCGAGGUAAGUUCUAUUUAUCCAUAUAUUUUGAUGGAAAACAGCUACCAGAUUGACACUUUGUUGAGAAAUUUUAAGGAGUAUUGUAAAUAUUGAGAAAUUACAAAUAUCUGUAUUUCUAAAAAAAAACUUUAAAAUUAUAACAGAGAUAUGUGUGUGUUUGUAUGCAUGCACUGUGUACUUGUAGAUACUAUUCUGGAUGCCUAACUAAAUAUAUCAAGUAUCUGAUUCAUGAUUAGCUGAGGGAGGAAAGCCAUCAGGUGAGAAGAAUCAUCAUAUAGUACAGGGUUUCCUCCAAGGUUUUUUCCUUUCAACAGCCUGAUCAGCAGAAGUGGGGAGGAAACGGGUGAGGUAAUUUUAAACAGGGGGAAUCCAUGAACCUAAAAAAGGGAUUUCUUAACUCAAAAUGAUGGAAUGAAAGGUCUCCUAUACAGAAUUUAUUUAUUUAUUUACAAUAUUUAUAUUCCGCCCUUCUCAGCCUGAAGGGGACUCAGAGUGCAUCAAAAUGCACAAAUACAUGGCAAACAUUUAGUGCCAUUAUGAGACGUACAACACACAUAAAGACAGUAGAGGUAAUUCAACAUUUUCCAACUUUCGGCUUCAGGAACUUAUGCUCGAUUCAGCCACAGGGGGAGCUGUCAUUUAAUCCACUAUGAUGCCAAGUCCAUUUUGAUCACAGCAUUUCCUCCUUGCUCUUCACUUCCCCACAGUUUUAUGGCAUCAUAAAUUAAAUUAACCUCCCCAUAUAACCAGUCCCUAAUUUUCUCUACUCAUAGCUGCAGCUGUUUUUGAACUGUUUAGGUGGACAGUAAGCUAGGCUAUUAAACGGUUGGGUGCUAAAUCCAACAUGGGCUUCAAACUCAUGACCUUUUGGUCAGCAGUGAUCUAUUGCAGCUGGCUAUUAACCAGCUGCACCACAGCCCAGAAUUCAAGCAUAUUCUGUUUCUUAACCAGAAAGGCCUCAAGUGCCCACCCAAAAAGCUUCCAUUGUGUUCUAUCAUGGGAAGAGGGCAAGGAAAUAUGAAACAAGAAAUAAAACAAGUUGCUUUAACUAUCUAACUUUUUUUUCAUUCCCUCCAGGCACAAGUUCACAAAUAAUUCCAAUAAUUAUGAUAUAAUUUCCAAGAAAGAAAUGACAUUAUAUGGAACUUCUCCGCUGAAGACCAUGCUCUGGGAAGCUCAGACAGUCCAGUUUUCCUUUCCCCCUUAAAAAACUGGAAAAAGAAGGACACAUCUGGCAAACAGUUCAAUAUUAUAUCUUGAAACAAACAUUUUUCAAGGAUAGGGACUCAACAGGAAAAAGGAUUAAGUGAUAAAGAGAGAGACUCCUUCAUGAAACUCAACCUCUCUUAUGUGGCAAAUCUCACUUUUAAAGGAUUGAUACAAUUUUAUGAAGUCAUUGUGACCUUCCAGAUGAGUUGGACAAAUGCCAUCAUCCUUCAGUUUUGAUUAUCUUGUUUAGGACUGAUGAAAGUUGGUCAAGCAACUUAUGAAGAAGUUGGACUAUGGGGUGAUGUACUGUGGGGUGUCAGUCUGUGGAUAUGACUAGGUAAUGUCAUUCUGUUCACUGUGGGAAUCUCAAGCCUGCACCUCAGUGUAAAAAUGCAACUAUACUUUUGUGGAUAUGGAGUGGGUAGAUGAAUAUAGAUGAAAGGUUGUGGGUUACUUUACCUCAAAAGAGAUGCUGCUAGUGUUAGAUGUGCUAGUCCUGGAUCAGAACACUGCCUGAUAGGCUUGUUCUAAAAUUUUGGAGGUGUUGUAAGUUGUAUUAAAAUCCAUUAAAUCUGUAUUUCCAAAGUGAUAUCCAACACGGGGGCAUGGCCUGCGCUUAAAACUUAAGAAUCAAAACUUACCCAGUCCUUUUUAAUUUUACUUUUGCAAUGUUCAGAAGCCUCCCAAAGUCAGUUUCAUAUUCAUGGCAAGCAACCAAAAAGGCUGCAUUUUCUCUUUAAAUUAAUUGCAUCUCACCAUUAGAAGAGGAAAAGCAGGGGGAAAGCAAAGUUUGUGGAGGGGGGGGGGAGCACAGAAGUCUGGGAAAUGUAGUUUGGGAAGUCAGAGUUCCAAUAAAUUUUUUAAUCUGCAAAGAGGACAACUGUCUGACACUUCUAGAAAGUAAAUCAGUGCUGGACUGGGAAGAAACCUCCAAAUGGAUGGCCCUUGGGGUUCCUUGUGUUCUAUCACUGUAGCAAGUUUCACCCCAAUAGGUGUACAAAUGAGGGAGAAAGGGUGAAAGGAGCCCCUGAAGUUUCUCCAAUGAUAGUAAUUAUGCACAAUUACUAUAACACAAAAGUAACAAAAUUUAAUUCUUGUUAUAGUAACUGAAUCUUAUUAAGCAGAUUUAUUCCUUCACAUUCAUGAGUUAUCUGAAAACUAUCCUAGUAUAAUGGUAUCACCUUAUACAGCUGUUUGAAGAUUUAUGGCCUGUUACACAAAUUGGUUUUUCCUGUAUCCUGCUAUGCUUUGAUUCCAUAGCAACAACUGUAUAGCUGCUAAUUUAGCUGAGGACAGCAGCACAUCAGAAGAAAUUGAUUUAUACAAUCCAUCAAAUCUCAUACUAAAUAAACUAAUCUUAAAUAUGCUGUUAAAGGAGCCAACAUGGUAUAGUUGUUUAAGUGUAGGACUAUGACCCUGAAGACCAGGGUUCAAAUCCCAGGUUGAUAUGAAACCCAGUCACACUCUCUCUAACUUAGUGGAAGGCAAUGGCAAAUCUUUUAUUUAACAAAUCCAAGAAAAUUCUGUGAUAGACCCACCUUAGAGUUGUUAUAGGUUAGAAAAGACUUGAAGGUACACAACAAUAAAAGAUUCACUAUUUUCCCCUA